AUACGUAGGGAGCGAGCGUUGUCCGGAAUUACUGGGUGUGAAGGGAGCGUAGGCGGGAGUGCAAGUCAGAUGUGAAAUACAUGGGCUCAACCCAUGGGCUGCAUUUGAAACUGCAUUUAUUGAGUGAAGUAGUGGUAAGCGGAAUUUCUGGUGCAGCGGGGAAAUGCGUAGAUAUCAGGAGGAACACCGGUGGCGAAGGCGGCUUACUGGGCUUUUACUGACGCUGAGACUCGAAAGCGUGGGGAGCAAACAGGAUUAGAUACCCUGGUAGUCCACGCUGUAAACGAUGAUUACUAGGUGUGGGGGGACUGACCCCUUCCGUGCCGCAGUUAACACAAUAAGUAAUCCACCUGGGGAGUACGGCCGCAAGGUUGAAACUUAAAGGAAUUGACGGGG
rnacentral:rRNA from 1 species